rnacentral:rRNA from 1 species
CGCCUCUUGCUGAACAUAAAAAUAAGAGGUCCCGCCUGCCCUGUGACUGUAAGUUUAACGGCCGCGGUAUUUUGACCGUGCGAAGGUAGCGCAAUCACUUGUCUUUUAAAUGAAGACCUGUAUGAAUGGCAUAACGAGGGCUUAACUGUCUCCUUUUUCCAGUCAAUGAAAUUGAUCUCCCCGUGCAGAAGCGGGGAUAAAACCAUAAGACGAGAAGACCCUAUGGAGCUUUAGACACUAAGGUAAGUCAUGUUAAACACCCCUAAAUAAAGGGCCAAACCAAAUGAAAAUUACCCCGAUGUCUUUGGUUGGGGCGACCGCGGGGAAAUACAAAACCCCCAUGUGGAACGGGAACACUUCCUCCUACAACUAAGAGCCCCCGCUCUAGUUAACAGAACUUCUGACCAACAAGAUCCGGCUAGCGCCGAUCAACGGACCGAGUUACCCUAGGGAUAACAGCGCAAUCCCCUUUUAGAGCCCAUAUCGACAAGGGGGUUUACGACCUCGAUGUUGGAUCAGGGCAUCCUAAUGGUGCAGCCGCUAUUAAGGGUUCGUUUGUUCAACGAUUAAAGUCCU